UACAGAGGGGGCAAGCGUUGUUCGGAAUUACUGGGCGUAAAGGGCGCGUAGGCGGCCUUCUAAGUCGAACGUGAAAUCCCCGGGCUCAACCCGGGAACUGCGUCCGAUACUGGAAGGCUUGAGUCCGGGAGAGGGAUGUGGAAUUCCAGGUGUAGCGGUGAAAUGCGUAGAUAUCUGGAGGAACACCGGUGGCGAAGGCGACAUCCUGGACCGGUAUUGACGCUGAGGCGCGAAAGCCAGGGGAGCAAACGGG
rnacentral:rRNA from 1 species